UCGUGCUAGAUGGGGAGCUGGCGGUGCCCUGUACCCGCAAUCCGCCACAGCGGGAUCGAAUUCCCCCUCGAGGGCUUAGAGCUUUCGUGACUGCUGGCAUUAAGCGGUGUAGAAGGUUGGGUCCUGCGCGGCGGGAGCCUGCGAACCUGGUCAGGUCCGGAAGGAAGCAGCCAUAAGCAGCCCCUCUCGGGUGCCGCAGGUCUACCUGGCCGGAGCUGGCUGAUGCUGGUAAGACGAGAGACCCAGUUCGACAGGGGGUGCACGA
rnacentral:SRP_RNA from 1 species